GGGCGGCACAGCGGGAAGCCAGGUGGUGACACCGAGCAGAACCCGAAAGCCGUUCUCAGUUCGGAUCGGAGUCUGCAACCCGACUCCGUGAAGCUGGAUUCGCUAGUAAUCGCGCAUCAGCCAUGGCGCGGUGAAUACGUUCCCGGGCCUUGUACACACCGCCCGUCAAGCCAUGGGAGCCGGGGGCGCCUGAAGUCCGGGACCGCGAGGACCGGCCUAGGGCGAAACUGGUAACUGGGGCUAAGUCGUAACAAGGUACC
rnacentral:rRNA from 1 species